CAGCCGCCACGGGAAUACGAAGGGGGCUAGCGUUGUUCGGAAUUACUGGGCGUAAGGCGCACGUAGGCGGAUAUUUAAGUCAGGGGUGAAAUCCCAGAGCUCAACUCUGGAACUGCCUUUGAUACUGGGUAUCUUGAGUAUGGAAGAGGUGAGUGGAAUUCCGAGUGUAGAGGUGAAAUUCGUAGAUAUUCGGAGGAACGCCGGUGGCGAAAGCGGAAUGCUGGGUCUCUUCUGACGCUGAGGUGCGAAAGCUAGGGUAGCGAACGGGAUUAGAUACCCGAGUAGUCCCUGUCUCUUAUAA
rnacentral:rRNA from 1 species